CCUUUCUUUUCCUUUUUUCCCCGCUGUGCCUGAAUCUCCCGGGACACUUAGACGGCUGGAGCCUCCCGACUCCAAGGCGGGCGACGGCAAAGUUAAACGCCAGCGCGCUGCGGUCCCCGGGCACCGAGGCGUCCCCGCUCCCGCCACCCACACAGGGCGCCAAGUGCCCCGACCCGCGAGUGACGAGGACGCACAGCCUGGAAGCCUCGCGGCCCUCCAGAUGGACUCGGAGCGCCCCUGGAGGCUACAGUGACCUAAGCUCUAGGAAGGCCGGGUCCUGGACGCCGCGUGCUGCUGUCCGCCGCCGACCGGUGUCCUCGCAGAGAUAACCUGGCUGAACUCACCGCCCAGCGCUAUGUCAGUUCUCCCUCAUGACAACCCAAAACUUGACCGGAUUUGUGUUCUGCAGAGAGGAAAAAAAAAAGCGGCCACCGAACACCAGUGCAGUAGCCAGGAUGGGCCUGUGGCUCUGGCUGCAGCCUCCAGGGACACCAGCUGGAGAGAAGGAAGCCACGCAUGGAGAGCGGCCAGGCUCAAAAUAUCUUAAAGAAAAUGGAACUCGGAGUCAGUCAUCUGUUCUCAACGUGGUCAUCUCAAAAAUAUGAGCACACGGAAGUUUUCUUCCUUCUUGUCAGUUUUGAGUCCAAUAUCAAUACUGUUGUCCUGUGAAAGAUUUUAAGAUUUAAAUGUUUUUUCAUGUAAUUUCCUGAUGUCUUGAUUGUUGCUUCUAUUUUGUUCAUCAAAACCAAACAGAGUGGAGGUUGCUCUGGGGCUGGAUGGAUGGCCAGUCAUUAAAAUCAAUGCCUUAUUAGUCUGCCUUA